CAAUAGCGUAUAUUAAAGUUGUUGCGGUAAAAAAGCUCGUAGUUGGAUUUCUGUUGAGAGCGACCGGUCCAUACCAUGUAUGCGUAUCUGGCUUGCUCUCGGCAUCCUCUCGAUAGACGUUACUGCGCUUGAUUGCGUGGUGCGGAUCUCGGGACUUUUACUUUGAGGAAAUUAGAGUGUUCACGGCAGGCUUUCGCCAGAAUACAUUAGCAUGGAAUAAUACUAUAGGAUCUUGGUUCUAUUUUGUUGGUUUCUAGAAUUGAGAUAAUGAUUAAUAGGGACAAUUGGGGGCAUUCGUAUCAACACGUCAGAGGUGGAAUUCUUGGAUUGUGUUGCGACGAACUACUGCAAAAGCAUUUGCCAAGGAUGUUUUCAUUGA
rnacentral:rRNA from 1 species